AAGAAGUGGUCUGCAACAUGUAUGGAACAAG
rnacentral:piRNA from 1 species